rnacentral:rRNA from 1 species
AGCAACCUGCCCUGGACUCUGGGAUAAGCGCUGGAAACGGCGUCUAAUACUGGAUAUGAGACGUGAUCGCAUGGUCGUGUUUGGAAAGAUUUUUCGGUCUGGGAUGGGCUCGCGGCCUAUCAGCUUGUUGGUGAGGUAAUGGCUCACCAAGGCGUCGACGGGUAGCCGGCCUGAGAGGGUGACCGGCCACACUGGGACUGAGACACGGCCCAGACUCCUACGGGAGGCAGCAGUGGGGAAUAUUGCACAAUGGGCGGAAGCCUGAUGCAGCAACGCCGCGUGAGGGAUGACGGCCUUCGGGUUGUAAACCUCUUUUAGCAGGGAAGAAGCGAAAGUGACGGUACCUGCAGAAAAAGCGCCGGCUAACUACGUGCCAGCAGCCGCGGUAAUACGUAGGGCGCAAGCGUUAUCCGGAAUUAUUGGGCGUAAAGAGCUCGUAGGCGGUUUGUCGCGUCUGCUGUGAAAUCCCGAGGCUCAACCUCGGGCCUGCAGUGGGUACGGGCAGACUAGAGUGCGGUAGGGGAGAUUGGAAUUCCUGGUGUAGCGGUGGAAUGCGCAGAUAUCAGGAGGAACACCGAUGGCGAAGGCAGAUCUCUGGGCCGUAACUGACGCUGAGGAGCGAAAGGGUGGGGAGCAAACA